rnacentral:rRNA from 1 species
UACGAAGGGGGCUAGCGUUGCUCGGAAUCACUGGGCGUAAAGCGCACGUAGGCGGAUCCUUAAGUCGGGGGUGAAAUCCUGGAGCUCAACUCCAGAACUGCCUUCGAUACUGAGGAUCUUGAGUCCGGGAGAGGUGAGUGGAACUGCGAGUGUAGAGGUGAAAUUCGUAGAUAUUCGGAGGAACACCAGUGGCGAAGGCGGCUUACUGGUCCAUUACUGACGCUGAGGUGCGAAAGCGUGGGGAGCAAACAGG